rnacentral:rRNA from 1 species
GACGGAGGAUGCAAGCGUUAUCCGGAAUGAUUGGGCGUAAAGCGUCCGCAGGUGGCAGUUCAAGUCUGCUGUCAAAGACCGGGGCUUAACUUCGGAAAGGCAGUGGAAACUGAACAGCUAGAGUAUGGUAGGGGCAGAGGGAAUUCCUGGUGUAGCGGUGAAAUGCGUAGAGAUCAGGAGGAACACCGGUGGCGAAGGCGGGUCUCUGGGCCGAUACUGACGUGAGGAGCGAAAGCGUGGGGAGCGAACAGG